rnacentral:misc_RNA from 1 species
GCAAACUUGGUCAUUUAGAGGAAGUAAAAGUCGUAACAAGGUUUCCGUAGGUGAACCUGCGGAAGGAUCAUUACAAAUCCAAAACAUACUUUGUUGAACAAAAAGGCUUUCGGCAUGCCCUUUUGCCUUGCACUCGUUGACUUGACUGACUCUAGGUGACACGCUUGGCGUAGCUAGAUGGUGUCAGCUUGACGUUCUUUCCCACCCUUGAGGGGUUUAUGGAGGGUGGGAAAGUUAAGCAGCACUUUGGAUGCGCACCAAACACGACGUCACCUUUAGUAGUUUAGACAAUAGAGCAAAAAAAAGAAUGUAGUUCUCAUUUAAACGAGAAUUGCAUGUGGGCUAUCGUUCUGGAAUGCUUUGACCAGCAGCCUUGGCUGCCGGUUAAACUCAUUCUUGUUGAACUUUAAAUCCAUAUCACAUCUGUAUUUAACAAAAAUAUAGACAACUUUUAACAAUGGAUCUCUAGGCUCUUGCAUCGAUGAAGAACGCAGC